CGGUAUUAUUGUUUCCUAAUGUCCAAAAAAAGAAUAGAACUGAAAAAGGUGACCGGUUUAGAGGCCACGAUUCCAUUUCAAAAUUAUGACAGAAACAAACAACAAUCCAAAAUAAUCCAAUCUCUUUCACUAAAAUGUAAGUAAACGUUCUGAGCUUCUCAUAAAUUGGGAAAUUAAAGAGGAGUAUAUAGCUCUCGAGUACAGCACAUGAACCGCUGACUUUGACGUUAAUGAACUUUGAAAUCAACUGCAGAAGCUUUAUGUGAAACUAUGAAUCAGUCAGACUUUAAGCUAAGCUUUGCUUUGCUUGUACUAGUUCUUAGUUAUUGUUUGUAUGGAAAAUAGUCGAAAUACAUUGGACUGGCCAGUCUUUUGCACCCUCUUAACAUGAUAAAUUGUUUCUUGUUUAAUACUCCUACUCCUACUUAAUCUUUUUCACUUACCAAUAGGAAAUAGCAAUAUGAAUUUACCACAAAAUAAAUAAAUCAGGG
rnacentral:lncRNA from 1 species